rnacentral:rRNA from 1 species
AUUGAACGCUGGCGGCAUGCUUUACACAUGCAGGUCGAACGGCAGCGCGGGCUUCGGCCUGGCGGCGAGUGGCGAACGGGUGAGUAAUACAUCGGAACGUGCCCAGUAGUGGGGGAUAGCUCGGCGAAAGCCGGAUUAAUACCGCAUACGACCUGAGGGUGAAAGCGGGGGAUCUUCGGACCUCGCGCUAUUGGAGCGGCCGAUGGCAGAUUGGCUAGUUGGUGGGGUAAAGGCCUACCAAGGCGACGAUCUGUAGCUGGUCUGAGAGGACGACCAGCCACACUGGGACUGAGACACGGCCCAGACUCCUACGGGAGGCAGCAGUGGGGAAUUUUGGACAAUGGGCGAAAGCCUGAUCCAGCAAUGCCGCGUGUGUGAUGAAGGCCUUCGGGUUGUAAAGCACUUUUGGCGGGAACGAAAAGGACUGUGCCAAUACCACGGUUCGAUGACGGUACCCGCAGAAUAAGCACCGGCUAACUACGUG